rnacentral:rRNA from 1 species
UGCAGAAUCCCGUGAACCAUCGAGUCUUUGAACGCAAGUUGCGCCCGAAGCCAUUAGGCCGAGGGCACGCCUGCCUGGGCGUCACACGUCGUUGCACCCCCACUACUCCCUCGGGAUUGCGGGGGGCGGAUGAUGGCCUCCCGUACGCUCCGUCGCGCGGUUGGCAUAAAUACCAAGUCCUCGGCGGCGCACGCCACGACAAUCGGUGGUUGCGAAACCUCGGUUGCCCGUCGUGUGCGGUCGUCGCGCAUCGAGGGCUCGAAAAAAUGCUUGGCUCCGGCUUGGCUUUCAACGCGACCCCAGGUCAGGCGGGGUUACCCGCUGAAUUUAA